AAAUUUCUCCUCUUUUCUGAUUCCUAAAGCGCGAGAAACCCCGCCACUGGCACUUGUAUCGUCUGCUUGCUAAAAUACUAAAGCGAGAGUGUGUGUUGCCGGGAUUUUGCUGCAUUUCAAAUAGCAACUCCUGCAAAACCUCUAAAGCACCUGGUGUAGUUUGCUGAGAAUUUUGGUGAAUUGUAAUUAUGAUGAAUGUUGUUGAUCUUGAUCAAGAUCAGCACUGGCUUAUCAACUGUUUAAAUGCUACAUUGGACACUAAUCAACAAGCUCGUACCUUUGCUGAAGCUUCUCUUAAUCAAGCGUCUCACCAACAUGGUUUUGGAAGUGCUUUAGCCAAAGUUGCUGCAAACAGGGAAUUGUCAAUGGGAUUGCGCCAAAUAUCCUUUCUUUACUGCUGAUCUCCCUCCUCCAUGCUCAUUUUCCCCCUAUUACAGUGUUGUUAAGCUGUAAUUUGUUACCUGUUAUUGCCAAUCUUAGGAUUUGUUUGGUUGGCAACUAAAUCAUGGGAAUUUCUAUUUCCUAGGAAGUGUAAGAUGGGCUUGUUGUUUGGUUGUCAAAAAGUUUACGAAACGAGGGAAGUAGUACUUCCCAUGAACUUCUAGUUCCUACAGAAUAGGGGAAGUAGCUACAUGCUCCCCCCUAGGUAAGUAAAAAUUCAUGCUACUUCCUUUAUGAAUAACCAAACAACAUUUUUCAAUUUCCAUGAAUUUAAUGAAGGAACUCAAUUCACGUGUAUUCAAAAUUCAUGGAAUUUUUUACUUCCUAUGGUGAACCAAACUAGUCCUUAGUUCAUUCUUUGAUUUGAUGGGGAAUUCUUAAUUUCUUUUUCUUAAUGGUUUUCUUCAUUUGUUUAUUUGUUCCAUUAGGAACUCAUGUUAAACAAACAAUUAGCUGCUCUCUUCUUUCGUUUAGCUGUAGUCAUUUUUAUUUCUAGCCUUGUAAACUUGCUCCCCGCACUGAUUGUCUUGGAGGCUUUGACUUAUUCUACCUAGCUGCGGUUCUGUUAAAGCAGUUCAUCAAAAAACAUUGGCAUGAGGAUGAGGAUAAUUUUGAGCACCCUAUUGUUGCCAGUGAUGAGAAGGAAGUCAUACGUAGACUUCUCCUGCUGUGCCUGGAUGAUUCACAUAGGAAAAUCUGCACAGCAGUAAGCAUGGCUGUUGCUUCCAUUGCACAUUAUGAAUGGCCAGAAGAGUGGCCUGAAUUAUUGCCUUUCCUGAUGAAGUUGAUUAAUGAUCAAACUAAUAUGAACGGGGUGCUUGGUGCAUUAAGAUGCUUGGCCCUUAUAGCUGCGGACAUAGAUGAUAAAGCUGUGCCAUCUUUGGUGCCUAUCUUGUUCCCUUGCUUGCUUUCAAUUGUUUCAUCUCCUCAGAUAUAUGAUAAAUCUAUGCGUACAAAAGCUCUGUCAAUAGUCUACGGCUGUACAUCUAUGCUGGGGACUAUCAGUGGUACCUACAAGGCAGAAACUAGUUAUAUGAUGUCAUCGAUGCUUCACUCAUGGAUGCAGCAGCUUGCAGCUGUCUUGAGUCAUCCAGUACAAUCCGAAGAUCCUGAUGACUGGAGCAUAAGAAUGGAGGCUUUGAAGUGCUUGAAUCAAUUUGUGCAAAAUUUCCCUAGUGCUACUGAAGAAGGUUUCAUGACUAUUGUAGGACCUCUUUGGCAGACAUUUGUGACAACUUUACAAGUAUACGAACAGUCAUCAAUUGAAGGUACUCAAGACUCCUUUGAAGGACGAUAUGACUCUGAUGGAGCUGAGAGAAGUCUAGAAUCCUUUGUUGUACAGUUAUUUGAGUUCCUGCUAACAAUUGUUGGCAGUUCGAGAUUCGUGAAGGUUAUUGCAAAUAAUUUGCAAGAGCUUGUUUACUAUACAUAUGGAUUUAUGCAGAUUACAGAACAACAGAUGCAUGCUUGGUCUCUCGACGCGAAUCAAUACAUCUCUGACGAGGAUGAUAAUAUGUACAACUGCCGUGUUUCUGGUGUCCUCCUAUUAGAGGAGAUCAUCAAUUCUUGUGGGGAGGAAGGACUACGUGCCAUAAUAGAUGCUGCUAGGAGGAGAUUUAUGGAGUCAAAACAGCAGAAGUCUGAAGGAUUAAAAUUUUGGUGGAGGAUAAGAGAGGCUGUUAUGUAUGCUAUCGCGUCAUUGUCAGAUCAAUUGCAAGAAGCAGAGGUCUGUGGCUCCGAUGGAUCUGAUUUUAAAAAAUUCAUAGAGCAAAUGAUCAUGGAAGAUAUUGGAGCAGGGGUCCAUGAAUUCCCAUUUCUACAUGCUCGCAUGUUCUCAUCAAUACCAAAGUUCUCAUCAAUGUUAAGCGCAGGGGUCAUUGAGCAUUUUCUUUUUGCUUCUCUGAGAGAUAUAGGCAUGGAUGUGCCACCACCUGUUAAAGUUGGUUAUUGCAGAGUGCUUUCCCAGCUCUUAUCUGAAGCAAACAGAGAAGCUGUUCAACCUCAUAUAUUGCAGCUACUUUCAUCACUUAUUGAUCUCCUUAAUCAAGCAUCUGAAGAAAGCUUGCACUUAGUGCUUGAAACAUUGCAAGCAGCUGUGAAGUCAGGUCAUGACGCAUCAUUAUCAGUGGAGCCGGUUAUAUCCCCCAUAAUUCUAAACACCUGGGUCUCUCAUAUAUCUGAUCCUUUUAUCAGUAUAGAUGCCAUUGAAGUUCUGGAGGCAAUUAAAAAUGCUCCGGGCUGCAUACAACCAUUGGUUUCUCGGGUACUGCCUUAUAUUGGACCAAUUCUUAGCCAGCCUAAACACCAGCCCGAUGGAUUAGUCGCAGGAUCUCUGGAUUUGGUGACCAUGCUUUUAAAGAAUGCUCCUGGUCCUGUUAUAAAAGCAUUAUAUGAUGUUUGCUUUAACCCUAUAAUACAAAUAGUGCUUCAAAGCGAUGAUUAUAGUGAGAUGCAGAAUGCUACAGAAUGCUUAGCUGCUUUUGUAUGCGGGGGCAAGAAUGACCUCCUCGCUUGGGGUGGAGAUCCUGGAUUUACAAUGAGAAGUCUGCUAGAUGCUCUUUCGAGGCUUCUGGACCCUGAUCUGGAAAGCUCGGGGUCUUUUUUUGUUGGGAAUUACAUCUUGCAGCUUAUCUUGAAUCUUCCUUCACAAAUGGGCCAGCAUAUCCAAGACCUGGUUUCUGCAUUAGUCAGGCGUAUGCAAUCUUGCGAAAUAGCUGGACUGAAAAACUCCUUGCUACUUGUUUUUGCGAGACUGGUUCAUAUGAGUGUUCCAAAUGUGGGCCAGUUUAUAGAUUUGUUGGUCUCAAUACCUGGGGAGAAUGACGGAAAUUCUUUUGCUUAUGUAAUGUCUGAAUGGGUCAAGCAGCAAGGUGAGAUACAGGGUUCGUACCAAAUUAAAGUUACUACCACUGCAUUGGCUCUUUUGCUGUCUACUAGGCAUGUUGAAUUGGCAAAAAAUUUUGUUCAAGGCCAUCUAAUUCAGAGCACUGGAGGAAUAACAACGCGUUCCAAAUCUAAAGCAGCUCCGGAGCAGUGGACUGUCAUGCCUCUAAAUUCAAAGAUUCUGGCCCUGUUAGCUGAUACACUAAUUGAGAUACAAGAACAAGUGAUUGAGCAUGAUGAGGAGGAUAGUGACUGGGAAGAAGUUGGUGCAGGAGAUGCAGAUGUAGAUCAAGAUCUCUUACAUGUGGCUACUGCCAAAUCAUCAGGAAAACCAGCUUAUGAUCAUCUUGCUGCAAUGGCGAAAGUAUUUGAGAACGAAAAGGAUGGAGAUGAAGAUGAUCUAUUAAGUAGUGUCGAUUCCCUCAAUGAGAUCAAUUUGGCAAAUUAUCUUGUUGACUUCUUGGUGAAGUUCUGCGAGAGUGAUAGAACACUUUUCGACCAGCUUUCCCAGGGUUUAGCCCAAUCUCAACGACAUGCAAUUCAAAUGAUUUUGGAACUCUGAGCAUUUCAAAGUUCCAAGUCAAAGCUGCCUGGUUUACCCUUGAUGUUGUGCUUCGCCAUGUAUUGCUUACUUCGCAUAGAUUGGCUGCCAAAAGCUUAUGUCAUGUUUUUUGAUGGCUAAGAGGUACCAAAUGUUUAUCGUGAUAAUGUCAAGAUGCUGCUGUACAAUUGUAUUGGCAAUAGUGUACCUUGUUAUUGCUUUAUAAUUAUUUAUUGAUUUUUGAUUUUGGGGUGAGGGUGUUGAGCUUGAAGGGCUUUUGAUUCUUGAAGAUCGGAAAUAGCCAAGAGCGACUUUAACGUAUAAUUAUUUUCCUGUGUUCAUGUACAUGGUACAGAGAGAAUAGAGAAUUCAUGUAAAUUGAGUAAAUACCUACAUACAUAGUUACGGUGAAGGCCUUAGCUGUAGUUUGUACACUAAAUUUUGAUGAAUAUUUCUUUGAAGUGAACUUUGAUCGAA